rnacentral:tRNA from 2 species
GGAGAGAUGUCAGAGUGGUCGAAUGAGCCGGUCUUGAAAACCGGUGUACUCGUAAGGGUACCGGGGGUUCGAAUCCCUCUCUCUCCG